rnacentral:rRNA from 1 species
AUGCGUGAUCUCGACUCGCGUUGGCCUUGGAUGAUCCAGCGGCGCCGCGAGGUGACGGUGGUCGAGUCGGAGGGCGAGGAGCACGGUUUCCACCUCUACAGUCCGCUGAGGGCCACCAGCAAGAGUCUGAUGGGAAGCCUCGUGGAGUUCAUAAACCAGCAGCCCACCUCGUCGCCUGCGAAUCCUAUGGUGGUGCUAGGCGUGCCCACGACGCCGUGCAAGGACGUGUUUGGGUAUGGCAUGGCCAUGAAGGCCUGGUGCACACGGUCCAGUAUGCCAUGUAACACUGCUACUUCAUUGAAGAUCGGAAGGGCUGGGCCAUCCAACACAAGAUAUAGGUUAAUCUCAGGUCGACUGCGGAUGACUGCUGGUAACGUUCAUCACAAAGAUCUAUUAUCUGCUGCAGUUCCGUGGAGUCGUGUGAUCAACAACUUCUUCUAG